CGACGCAACUGGCGAGCUGGCGUGGAGUAAACCACGAGGGAGCGUUGAGCCUUUGAAGACUAGAGCCGAUCGCCUGGGCCA
rnacentral:ncRNA from 1 species